AUGGAUAUAUUUGUGAACUCAGAAGGUUAUGAGCAGAGCAGGUCGGCGAGUUGGUGCGGAGUUCGUCUCUGCAAGCCUGGUCGCCCUGGGGUGGAUUCCUCCUCUUCUUCCUCCGCGGCGGGUUUGGGUGCAGUGGACCCGCAGUUGCAGCAUUUCAUCGAGGUAGAAACUCAAAAGCAGCGCUUCCAGCAGCUGGUGCACCAGAUGACUGAACUUUGUUGGGAGAAGUGCAUGGACAAGCCUGGGCCAAAGUUGGACAGUCGGGCUGAGGCCUGUUUUGUGAACUGCGUUGAGUGCUUCAUUGAUACAAGCCAGUUCAUCUUGAAUCGACUGGAACAGACCCAGAAAUCCAAGCCAGUUUUCUCAGAAAGCCUUUCUGACUGAUCUCAGCAUUACCUCUUUGGAAAAGGAAGGUAGUUCAAGAAAUGAAGAGCUGUUGAUGGGAUGAUUGAAGAAACAGCUAUGAGAGGAUUGGCUCCCAUCUUUUGUUACUCUUAGGACAUCCUGUCAUCUGAGAAUGAACAAAGACCAAUUUUUUUGUGUGUGAAGCUUGAGGGUCAUAUGUUUGCUUGUAUUUUUUAAUGCUAAUCUUGUGAAAAUAAUUGACAGGUUAAUGGAAAACUCUAUUUAGAUGCAUAUUACUGUACAUGGGACUAUGCUUUUCUCAAAGCCCCAUUAACUGCUUCCUAUAAUUUUGAUAGUGGGACCACAUACGUAAAAAUCUCUCAUUUGUAUGGAGUCAUUUCUGAUUUCAGGGAAGAUCCUUGUGUUUAUCAGAAAGGGCAGAAGUGGGGGAAGAAUAAUUUGGUGUCCUUAUCUAGUGUUUGAUUAUCAGUGCUGGAGAAAAAGAUCUGUAAGAGUGUUUAUACAGUGCACUUCAGUUUUCUUGAUGAUCUCCCUUUCCUAUAUGAUGAUUUGCUUAAAUAUCCAUAUUAAGUAUAGUCUCAAGGUAGGAUAGGUAGCCUAAGAGUCUAGAGGCCUUUACUUAUAAAGGAAUCUAGCCAGUGAACACAAUUCUUAUUACUAGACUGCCACAAGGAAGAAGUUAACUUACCCUGUAUAUCAGGGUACAAAAAAUUCAGUGAUGUGCCUAAAUAAGUUAUAAAGAUUUAGGCCAAUCAGAAGCUAACAGCAGUUUCAGGUAGAGGUGCAUGCCUAAUGUUAAUUAGUGUAGAUUCCAUUUAUUGCAUUUUUUUGAUCACUGAAAUAAAAGCUAUAUAAGAUUCAAAAAAAAA